rnacentral:rRNA from 1 species
UACGAAGGGGGCUAGCGUUGCUCGGAAUUACUGGGCGUAAAGCGCACGUAGGCGGCUUGUUAAGUCGGGGGUGAAAUCCUGGAGCUCAACUCCAGAACUGCCUUCGAUACUGGCGAUCUCGAGUUCGGGAGAGGUGAGUGGAACUGCGAGUGUAGAGGUGAAAUUCGUAGAUAUUCGCAAGAACACCAGUGGCGAAGGCGGCUCACUGGCCCGGUACUGACGCUGAGGUGCGAAAGCGUGGGGAGCAAACAGG